rnacentral:misc_RNA from 1 species
GACCUGUUAAGGAUCAUUGUUGAGGCCCGUCGAGCAGUGAGACCCCCGAACCAGUGACCCUAACGAGAUGCGCGUGGCUCGGAGAGUGCGGCACAGCUUGCUCUCCCGGGGGACCACGCGAUGAACCAUCCCCGGCGCGAUGGGCAUUAGGGAAUUGAGAUGGAAUAGGCGUGGCUCCCUCCGAGGAUGCCGGCRCGCGUUCAGAACUUAUACGAUUCUCCGUAAUGGAUAUCUCGGCUCUCGCAUUAAUGAAGAAUGUAGCGAAAUGCGAUACUUGGUGUGAAUUUCAGAAUCUUGUGAACCAUCGAGUCUUUGAACACAAGUUACGCCCAAGGCCACUCGRCUGAGGGCAUGCCUACCUGGGCAUCACGCACCGUGCUGCCCCACYAGGCACUCACCCCAUCUGGCGGUGGUGCCGCAGGGUGGAGACUGGCCACUCAUGUGCCUUG